CCCUCCGAGGCUUCGUCUCCUCUCCUCUCCCUCGCGAGUUCGCCCGCCGCGCCGCCUCGCCUCGCCUCGCCUCGCCUGCGCCGGCGUCCUACUGAGUACUGCCUCCGCCGCAUCGUCGCCGCCCGCGUUUUGAGCGGGAGGGAAAUAGGUGAGGAGGCGCGGUAGCCAUGUCGGUGGCGGCCGGGGUCAGCGAUGCCGCCAUCGCGGUGCGCGACAAGCUCCGCGGGAAGAUUGGCCAGACCAAGGUGAAGCGGUACUGGCCCGGGAAGGCGCCUGAGUGGGCUGACGCCGGCGAGGACGACGCCGAUCUCCAGACGACUAAGGUUUCCCUUGACAAGGCGUUCCCCAAGGAUGAGGAUGGCGGCGCGCCUGCCAAGGCGGAUGACCGCCGCCUUCGCCGCCUCGCGCAGACCCGUGAGGAGAACAAGGAGGAGCUGAGGGCGGAUCACCGUCGCAUACGGCAAGCCGAGAUUGUGUCUACCGUGGAUGAGGAGAAUGAGAGGCAGGAAGCUGAGCUGGAAGAGGAGGAUGAGGAGGCCCAGGAGGAGAGGAGGAGGAGGAUAAGGGAGCGGCAACUCUUGAGGGAGCAGGAGGAGUUGCUUCCUCAGGAGGAGGAGGAGCCGAUUGAGGAGGAGGAGGAAGAGGAGGAAUCUGAAUAUGAGACUGACUCGGAGGAUGAACAGAUGGGCAUGGCGAUGGUGAAGCCUGUCUUCAUACCAAAGUCACAGCGGGACACUAUCGCUGAGCGUGAGCGGCUGGAGGAGGAGGAGCGGCAGCUUGAGGAGCUAGUCAAGAAGAGGCUGGAGGCUAGGAAAAUUGAGACUAGGCAGAUUGUCGUUGAAGAAAUUAGGAAGGAGGAACACAUCGAGAAGACACUGAACGAGGAGGCUAACAUUGAGGAUGUUGAUACAGAUGAUGAGUUGAAUGAAGCGGAGGAGUAUGAGUCAUGGAAGAAUCGAGAAAUUGCAAGAAUUAAGAGGGACAGGGAGGAGAGAGAUGCAAGGUUGAAGGAGAAGGAGGAGAUCGAGAAGGUCAGGAAUAUGACUGAGGAGGAGCGUCGGGAAUGGGAGCGCAAGAAUCCUAAGCCACUUCGUCAGAGCAAGCAGAAGUGGAAGUUUAUGCAGAAGUAUUAUCACAAGGGUGCCUUCUUCCAGGAAGGUGCUGAUGAUGUUAGUCAAUCAGCUGGUAAGGAUGAUAUUUACGGCCGCGACUUCUCCGCACCAACUGGUGAAGAUAAGAUGGACAAGAGCAUCUUGCCCAAGGUUAUGCAAGUUAAGCACUUUGGACGGAGUGGCAGAACGAAGUGGACACAUCUUGUCAAUGAGGACACUACAGACUGGAAUGCACCGUGGUCUACAAAUGGACCCUUGCGAGCGAAAUACAAUGCGAAAAUGGCAGGCAUGAAUGCUCCUAUUGCCAAACCAAAGGGAAGUAAGAAGAUGAAAGAUUGGGACACAAAACAGGAUGAUUAAAUGAACACUAGAUGAUGGCUGGUACUACUCUCUUACUAUCAUAGGGAUAAACGAAAGAGUAUGUAACCAUCUAUGGCUAGCUGCUUGUCAUGUACUGUCCUGCUAUGCUUAAUCAGAGACGAAUUGUGUAUAUAUUUUUUGCUGUACCUUUGACAUAUUGGUAUGCUUUGAACAUGUCAAUGCUUCAAGUUGUGGAUCUUUCAGAUCUGCAUUUCAAUUGUUUAUCAUUUUCUGUCAAAGUUCCAUCCCAUUCACACCCUUAUUAACAACAUCAUUACAUUGUUGGACAGUGAUAUAUAUGCCAGCCUCAGUGAUAUAUGCUUGUUGG